UAACCACCGUCGAGAGACGGUGCUGAAGGGCAGAAGUCAGCAGAGGUCAUAGUACCUGCGCAGAGAUGACUGAGUAGGGAAGGAC
rfam:Alicyclobacillus ferrooxydans strain TC-34 contig_65, whole genome shotgun sequence.